UACGUAGGGUGCGAGCGUUGUCCGGAAUUAUUGGGCGUAAAGAGCUCGUAGGCGGUGUGUCACGUCGGCCGUGAAAACCUGCAGCUUAACUGUGGGCGUGCGGUCGAUACGGGCAGGCUAGAAUUCGGUAGGGGAGACUGGAAUUCCUGGUGUAGCGGUGAAAUGCGCAGAUAUCAGGAGGAACACCGGUGGCGAAGGCGGGUCUCUGGGCCGAUAUUGACGCUGAGGAGCGAAAGCGUGGGGAGCAAACAGG
rnacentral:rRNA from 1 species